CACGCUGCAGACGCCCAGCUGGAGCCUCCGCCUCCUCCUUACACACGCCCUCCAGGCGGGGACCCAGGGCAUCCGGGAGGCGCGUCUUCGCCCACUUACUUCCACCCCGGGUUCCUGCGCAAGGACGGGGGCGGCCUCCUUGGCUCCCGUCCGAGGCCCGCCUCCCGCUCCGCCCCCCGCUGGCUCGGCCUCGCGGAUUCAGGCAGUGAUGGCCGCGAGCGGCCUGGUGAGUCCGGGCCUGCUCCCGGUCGCCGCGACUCCGAACCACUAGGCAGGGAGCGAGCGCGGGCUCCCGCGGCCCGAUCGCGGCCGGGGAUCGUGCACACCCCGCGCGCCAAGGUCCACAUUCACCCUUUCCCGCGCUCCGCUCGGCGGGAGCGCGGCCAAUCGGCUUCCGCAGUAGCAGAGCAUCCGACCAAUGAGAGCAAAGCGACUCGGGAUCUCCACGCCCAUUGGCCAGAGGCACUGACACUUGCGCGGAAGGCGGAAUUCCUGUGGCGGCAAAGGCCUUCCCCCCACCCUCACCCCAACGCAAAGUCGCGAGUCCUGCGAGUCCUGCCGGGUUUGGGACGAGCUCUUCUUCGUGCCCAAGGGGAGAGCGGAUUCUAAUUUUUAAAACUGAUGUGCUUUAUAAGACCCAAUGUUAAUUAACUUCGUGAAAAUGUUUCGUAAGAACAUUCCCCUGUGUCUGAAUGCUGUGUGUGACAAAUCAUGUCAAGUGUGUUUUCAGGAGUGAGCCUCUUUCCAGGAUAAAAUACUCAAUAUUCUAAGAGACAAAUGAAAAAAUGAUGAUUAUGUUCUCAAGCAUGUUCAUCAUUAAGAGCGCCGAAGCCAUCUACAUUCACAUAGAUUGCUAACUACAUUAAUAGGACUUAUCAUACUGUUUUCAUCCACAUAAAUUCACUAUCCCAGCAAACUUUGCCCAGGGACAUGAAAAUUGCAAAUAUCUUUAUUGCUUAUUCCAAUAACUUCCUCAAAGACGCAAACGCUCUUCCAUUGAAAACAUCAGAGCACAGCUUACAUCCCAAACCUUCUUGAAAAAUCCUUGUCUGUCGUCCACCAAUCCUAAACUGUUACCCAGUGUUUACCCUAUCCUAAACAUUAAAGACCCCACAUUAAAGACCUGCCUUAAACCAGAAUUCAGAAUCUCAAUAAAUAGCCCAACCUUGCUCUCCCCUUUUGAGACACUACCAAAAUUCUGCUCCCCUAGAACCUCAAGAAGCAGUAAGCUUAGCUUUGUCUUAUCAACAGAUGGUUCUUUUUUUAAAAAAUGUUAUUUAUUUAUUUAUUCAGGACACACACACACACACAGAGGCAGAGACAUAGGCUGAGGGAGAAGCAGGCUCCCCGGGGAGACCCUGCUGAGGGACUCUAUGCUGGGACCCCAGGAUCAGGCCCUGAGCUGAAGGCAGACGCUCAACCACUGAGCCACCCAGGUGCCCCUCAACAGAUGGUUCUGUUGGGAUUUCUGGGAGCCAGCAUUUGACAUCCUUGGAGGCCCCAGCAACAUCCUUGGAGGCCCAGCAACUGGCUCCAGUAGUCAGUUUCUGCUGCCACAACUCCAAAUCAGCGUUCCUCUGAGUCCCUUGAACUUUCUCUCCGUGCUCACUGAACUCAAAGGUGGGAAAAGUGAAUCUGGCAUGAAGUUCAGCUCCAGCGUUUUCUGUUGUUGAGUUUCCCCGAGUGCUGAGUUUAUUUUGUCCUUGGGAAUAAAGAUAC
rnacentral:lncRNA from 1 species